rnacentral:rRNA from 1 species
GAUUCUGGCUCAGAACGAACGCUUGCAGCGUGGAUUAGGCAUGCAAGUCGAACGGGAAGCCAUGGGUUCAAUCUUCGGAAAGAAACCGUGGUGGAGAGUGGCGAAAGGGUGAGUAACGCGUGGGUAACUUGCCUCUAAGUUGGGGAUAACACUCCGAAAGGAGUGCUAAUACCGAAUGUGGUCACCGGUCGCAUGGCCGGAUGAUUAAAGGUGGGGAUCCUUCGGGACCUGCCGCUUGGAGAGAGGCCCGCGUACCAUCAGCUUGUUGGUGAGGUAACGGCUCACCAAGGCUUACGGUUAGCUGGUCUGAGAGGAUGGUCAGCCACACUGGGACUGAGACACUGCCCAGACUCCUACGGGAGGCUGCAGUCGAGGAUCAUUUGCAAUGCGCGAAAGCGUGACAAUGCGACGCUGCGUGGAGGAUGACGGCCUUCGGGUUGUAAACUCCUGUCAUCCGGGACAAAUGGCCCUGAUGUGAUAAGCUUCAGGGUGUGAUGGUACCGGAAGAGGAAGCCACGGCUAACUCUGUGCCAGCAGCCGCGGUAAUACAGAGGUGGCGAGCGUUGUUCGGAUUUACUGGGCGUAAAGCGUGCGUAGGUUGUUUUGUGUGUCGGAUGUGAAAGCCCACCGCUCAACGGUGGAAUUGCAUUCGAAACUGCAGGACUAGAGACCAGGAGGGGAGAGCGGAAUUCUUGGUGUAGCGGUGAAAUGCGUUGAUAUCAAGAGGAACACCGGUGGCGAAGGCGGCUCUCUGGAAUGGUACUGACACUGAGGCACGAAAGCUGGGGGAGCAAACAGGAUUAGAUACCCUGGUAGUCCCAGCCGUAAACGGUGUGCACUUGGUGUUGGCGGUAAUGACCCCGCCAGUGCCGGAGCUAACGCGUUAAGUGCACCGCCUGGGGAGUACGGCCGCAAGGUUAAAACUCAAAGAAAUUGACGGGGGCCCGCACAAGCGGAGGAGCAUGUGGCUUAAUUCGAUGCAACGCGAAGAACCUUACCAGGGCUUGACAUGCCCGUCGUAUUCCCCUGAAAGGGGGAAGUCAGCUCGGCUGGACGGUGCACAGGUGCUGCAUGGCUGUCGUCAGUUCGUGCCGUGAGGUGUUGGGUUAAGUCCCGCAACGAACGCAACCCCUGUGUCUAGUUGCCACCGUAGGUGAUGAGCCUGCGAGCACUCUAGGCAGACUGCCUGUUGAAACGGGAGGAAGGUGGGGACGACGUCUCAGUAUGGCCCUUACGCCCUGGGCUGCACACGUGCUACAAUGGUCGGUACAGAAGGAAGCAAUACCGCGAGGUGGAGCAAAUCCCCAAAGCCGGCCUCAGUUCGGAUUGGAGUCUGCAACUCGACUCCAUGAAGUUGGAUUCGCUAGUAACGGCGCAUCAGCUACGGCGCCGUGAAUACGUUCCCGGGCCUUGUACACACCGCCCGUCACAUCAUGAAAGCCGUCUGUACCUGAAGUUGCCGAGCCAACCCUCACGGGAGGCAGGUACCGAGGGAAUGGGUGGUAAUUGGGAUGAAGUCGUAACAAGGUA